rnacentral:rRNA from 1 species
ACUCUCGGCAACGGAUAUCUCGGCUCUCGCAUCGAUGAAGAACGUAGCGAAAUGCGAUACCUGGUGUGAAUUGCAGAAUCCCGUGAACCAUCAAGUCUUUAAACGCAGUAAGUUUGCCGAGGCCAUCCGCUAAGGGCACGCCGCGUCUGGCGCCACGCUGACGCUUCGCCGUUGUUCUCGGGGGGGCGGGGCGAACGCACGAGGAUGGCCCCCGUGUCGAAGGUGCGGUUGGUCAAGAGCGGGCCGUCGAUGGUUGUCGAACACGACACGUGGUGGAUGCCUUGUGCGAAGCGGCACAUCAUGCCUUCGGACCCGGGCGAGGCCUUGAGGACCCAAGUCGUGGUGCGAAGUCGAUGCCACGGACCGCGACCCCUGUGUCGUGGGGCUACCCACCGAGUUUAAGCAUAUAAAUAAGCGGAGGAGAAGAAACUUACAAGGAUUCCUUAGUAACGGCGAGCGAACGGGAUCAACCCAGCUUGAGAAUCGGGCUGCGUCGCCUGAAUUGUAGUCCGGAGAAGCGCCUCGGCCGACGGACCCGGGCCCAAGUCCCCCGGAAAGGGGGCCGGGAGGGUGAGAGCCCCGUCCGGCUCCGGACCCCUCGCCGCACCACGAGGCAUUGUCGACGAAGUCGGGUUGUUUGGGAAUGCAGCCCCAAUCAAAGGUAAAUUCCGGCCCAAGGCUAAAUAUGGGCGAGAGACCGAUAGCGAACAAGUACCUCGAGGGAAAGAUGAAAAGGACUUUGAAAAAGAGAGUCAAAGAGUGCUUGAAAUUGCCGGGAGGGAAGCGGAUGGGGCCGGCGAUGCACCUCGGUUGGAUGGAACGGCGGUUAGCCUAUUCCGCUUCGGCUUCGGUGCGGAUCGAUGCAGGCUGCAUCGACGUCCGGCCAGGAUGGAUCGUUCGUUCGAGGGGAUACCGCCGGUCGCGGUCGAGGACAUGACGCGCCAUCGGGCGGCCUUCGCGGGUGUACACGCGUGCGACCUAGGCAUCGGCGUGGGCUCCCCAUCCAACCUGGCUUGAAACACGGACCAAGGAGUCCGACAUGCGUCGAAGUCGACGGCGCGGAAACCCGGAAGGCACAAAGGAAGCUAACGGCGGGAACCCUCUCGAGGGGUUGCACCGGCCGUCGACCCGAUCUUCGUGAAGGGUUCGAGUUGGAGCAUGCAUGUCGGGACCCAAAAGAUGGUGAACUAUGCUCGAAGCGAGGCGGCCGAGGAAACUUCUGGCGGAGGCCCAAGCGAUACCGACGCGGCAAAUCGUUCGUCGACUUGGGUAUAGGGCUUAAAAAGACUAAUCGAACCAUCUAGUAGCCGGUUCCUUCGAAGUUUCCCUCAAGAUAGCUGGAGCCCACGCGGCGAGUUCUAUCGGGUAAAGCCAAUGAUUAGAGGCAUCGGGGCGCAACGCCCUCGACCUAUUCUCAAACUUUAAAUAGGUAGGAGGACGGGCUGCUUCGUUGAGUUGCGUCGCUGAAUCGAGAGCUCCAAGUGGGCCAUUUUUUUGUAAACCAGAACGGCGAUGCGGGAUGAACGGAAGCCGGGUUACGGUGCCCAAUCAGGCGCUAACCCGCACACCAUAAAGGGUGUUGGUCGAUUAAGACAGCGGGGACGGUGGUCAUGGAAGUCGAAAUCCGCUAAGGAGUGUGUAACAACUCACCUGCCGAAUCAACUAGCCCCGAAAAUGGGUUGCUGCUGAAGCGCCACCCACACCGCCCAUCGGGCGAGCGCCAAGCCCCGAUGAGUAGGAGGGAGGCGGCGGUCGCCAAAAAAACCCAGGGCUUGAGCCCGGCGGAGCGUCCGUCGGUGCAGAUCUUGGUGGUAGUAGCAAAUAUUCAAAUGAAAACUUUGAAGGCCGAAGAGGGGAAAGGUUCCAUGCUAACGGCACAUGCACAUGGGUUAGCCGAUCCUAAGGGAUGGGGGAAGCCCAUCCGAGAGCGUGUCUCCGCGCGAGCUCCGAAAGGGAAUCGGGUUAAAAUUCCCUAGCCGGGAUGCGGCGGCGGACGGCAACAUUAGGAAGUCCGGAGACGCCGGCGGGGGCUCUGGGAAGAGUUAUCUUUUCUUCUUAACGGCCCGCCCACCCUAGAAACGGCUCAGCCGGAGGUAGGGUCCAGCGGUCGGAAGAGCUCCGCACGUCGCGUGGCAUCCGGUGCGCCCCCGGCGGCCCUUGAAAAUCCGGAGGACCGAGUGCCGCCCGCGCCCGGUCGUACUCAUAACCGCAUCAGGUCUCCAAGGUGAACAGCCUCUGGCCCAUGGAACAAUGUAGGCAAGGGAAGUCGGCAAAACGGAUCCAUAACUUCGGGAAAAGGAUUGGCUCUGAGGGCUGGGCACGGGGAUCCCGGCCCCGAACCCGUCGGCUGUCGGCGGACUGCUCGAGCUGCUCUCGCGGCGAGAGCGGGUCGCCGCAUGCCGGCCAGGGGACGGACCGGGAAUGGCCCCCUCAGGGGCCUUCCCCGGGCAUCGAACAGCCGACUCAGAACUGGUACGGACAAGGGGAAUCCGACUGUUUAAUUAAAACAAAGCAUUGCGAUGGUCCCUGCGGAUGUUCACGCAAUGUGAUUUCUGUUAGGAUCGAGAGCACUAAGAGGGGGGGGGGUGAAUUAGUGCAGCGGAAAACUUUCAGCGAUUUAAAAACAAAAGCCGCGUUCGUCCAAUAAAAACGAUUUCGAUGUAAAUGCCGAUUCACAGUUUGUAGUUUACGUAGUUUGCGUCUAAAUGCAGUUUGCGUCUAAAUGCAGAUUGCGUCUAAGCGCAGUUUGCAUUUAAGCGCAGUUUGCGUCUAAGCGCAGAUUGCGUCUAAACACAGUUUGCGUCUAAACACAGUUUCCGUCUAAACACAGUUUGCGUCUAAGCGCAGUUUGCGUCUAAACACAGUUUGCGUUUAAGCGCAGUUUGCGUCUAAGCGCAGUUUGCGUUUGAGCGCAGUUUGCGUCUAAGCGCAGUAUGCGUUUGAGCGCAGUUUGCGUCUAAACGCAGUUUUACGUCUAAGUGCAGUUUUACGUCUAAGUGCAGUUUUACGUCUAAACGCAGUUUUACGUCUAAACGUAGUUUUGCGUCUAAACGAAGUUUUACGUCUAAACGUAGUUUUACGUCUAAACGCAGUUUUGCGUCUAAACGCAGUUUUACGUCUAAACGUAGUUUUACGUCUAAACGCAGUUUUACGUCUAAACGUAAUUUUACGUCUAAACGCAGUUUU